UACGAAGGGGGCUAGCGUUGUUCGGGAUUACUGGGCGUAAAGCGCGCGUAGGCGGCUUUGCAAGCCAGAGGUGAAAUGCCUGAGCUUAACUUGGGAAUUGCCUUUGGGACUGCGAGGCUUCGAGGACGGGAGAGGUGAGUGGAAUUCCCAGUGUAGAGGUGAAAUUCGUAGAUAUUGGGAAGAACACCGGUGGCGAAGGCGGCUCACUGGCCCGUUUCUGACGCUCAAGCGCGAUAGCGUGGGGAUCAAAGAGG
rnacentral:rRNA from 1 species